rnacentral:rRNA from 1 species
UGAUACUAAGCCAUGCGAGUCAUUGUAGCAAUACAAGGCAUACGGCUCAGUAACGCGUAGUCAACCUAACCUAUGGACGGGAAUAACCUCGGGAAACUGGGAAUAAUGCCCGAUAGAACAUUAUGCCUGGAAUGGUUUAUGUUCCAAAUGAUUUAUCGCCGUAGGAUGGGACUGCGGCCUAUCAGUUUGUUGGUGAGGUAAUGGCCCACCAAGACUAUUACAGGUACGGGCUCUGAGAGGAGUAGCCCGGAGAUGGGUACUGAGACACGGACCCAGGCCCUAUGGGGCGCAGCAGGCGAGAAAACUUUGCAAUGUGCGAAAGCACGACAAGGUUAAUCCGAGUGGUUUCUGCUAAAGGAACCUUUUGUCAGUCCUAGAAACACUGAUGAAUAAGGGGUGGGCAAGUUCUGGUGUCAGCCGCCGCGGUAAAACCAGCACCUCAAGUGGUCAGGAUGAUUAUUGGGCCUAAAGCAUCCGUAGCCGGCUCUGUAAGUUUUCGGUUAAAUCUGUACGCUCAACGUACAGGCUGCCGGGAAUACUGCAAAGCUAGGGAGUGGGAGAGGUAGACGGUACUCGGUAGGAAGGGGUAAAAUCCUUUGAUCUAUUGAUGACCACCUGUGGCGAAGGCGGUCUACCAGAACACGUCCGACGGUGAGGGAUGAAAGCUGGGGGAGCAAACCGGAUUAGAUACCCGGGUAGUCCCAGCUGUAAACCAUGCAAACUCAGUGAUGCAUUGGCCUGUGGCCAAUGCAGUGCUGCAGGGAAGCCGUUAAGUUUGCCGCCUGGGAAGUACGUACGCAAGUAUGAAACUUAAAGGAAUUGGCGGGGGAGCACCACAAGGGGUGAAGCCUGCGGUUCAAUUGG